GUAUGCAGGCUUAAACAGCCUGAAGAUACCAAAUCUCAUCUGAUCUGGAAAGCUAAGAAGAUUAUGUCUGGUCAGUACUUGAUUGGGGACCACCAAGGAAAGCGUGGUGCUGUAUUAU
rnacentral:rRNA from 11 species